AUAAUUUGAAUAAAGACUGUUGUUGCCAAGCAGGAGGUAAGGUUAUCAGCUGAGUGGUGACAACAACACCGUGAUUACCUCGGAACUCACAGACAACUUUCAAAUCUGAAGCUCAAUAAUCGAUAGGACACGAAAUGUUUCGACUCAUUUUGACCUUCGGUGCGGGCAUGUAUGCUGGCAUCUACGUCACUCAAAACUACGAUGUACCUCGUGUUGAUGAACCCUCCAAACUCUGGGAGAAGGUCAAAGACUGGGCCGAUUCACACAAGAAGAAGGACUAGCGACACUGCGGUUAAUCCAGAAUAUAUAGCGACUGGUUAACACGAAGAAUUACCAGUUGGAUAACUCGAGCUGCUGCAGUUCUGACCACCAUACAUAUUAAUUAGUUUUAAGGUAUGAUAGCACACAUUGUGCCAUGAAAUGAAUGAAGUAUCAAGCUGUAUACAGUAUGGAUAUACUGUGUGUAUAUAUAUAUAUACACACACACACACACACAUUGAACAUAUGUUCAUUAACCACUGUAAAUUUUUGACAACUUGUACAAUGCAGUAGUAACUUUAAAAUUUAUGAUAUACAAGUUGCAUUUACUGAAUUUUUUCCAUGUAACUUUAAAAUUAACUUUUUUGUGUAAAAUUAAAUAUAAGUUGUUAAAAAUGUUUACCAUAAUAAAGUUUCAUCUUUA